rnacentral:rRNA from 1 species
CGUAGGGUGCGAGCGUUGUCCGGAAUUAUUGGGCGUAAAGAGCUCGUAGGCGGUGUGUCGCGUCGGCCGUGAAAACCUGCAGCUUAACUGUGGGCUUGCGGUCGAUACGGGCAUCACUGGAGUUCGGCAGGGGAGACUGGAAUUCCUGGUGUAGCGGUGAAAUGCGCAGAUAUCAGGAGGAACACCGGUGGCGAAGGCGGGUCUCUGGGCCGAUACUGACGCUGAGGAGCGAAAGCGUGGGGGAGCGAACAGGAUUAGAUACCCUGGUAGUCCACGCCGUAAACGUUGGGCGCUAGGUGUGGGGGCCAUUCCACGGUCUCUGUGCCGUAGCUAACGCAUUAAGCGCCCCGCCUGGGGAGUACGGCCGCAAGGCUA